rnacentral:rRNA from 1 species
AUUGAACGCUGGCGGAAUGCUUUACACAUGCAAGUCGAACGGCAGCACGGGGGCAGCCCUGGUGGCGAGUGGCGAACGGGUGAGUAAUACAUCGGAACGUGCCCGGUCGUGGGGGAUAACGUAGCGACAGUUACGCUAAUACCGCAUACGAUCUGAGGAUGAAAGCGGGGGACCUUCGGACCUCGCGCGCUCGGAGCGGCCGAUGUCAGAUUAGGUAGUUGGUGGGGUAAAGGCCUACCAAGCCGACGAUCUGUAGCUGGUCUGAGAGGAUGACCAGCCACACUGGGACUGAGACACGGUCCAGACUCCUACGGGAGGCAGCAGUGGGGAAUAUUGGACAAUGGGCGCAAGCCUGAUCCAGCCAUGCCGCGUGGAGGACGAAGGCCUUCGGGUUGUAAAGUGCUUUUGUAGGGAAAGAAAAGGAUCUGGCUAAUACCUGGGGGUCAUGACGGUACCGAAAGAAUAAGCACCGGCUAACUACGUG